GACGAACGCUGGCGGCGUGCUUAACACAUGCAAGUCGAACGGAAAGGCCCUGCUUUUGUGGGGUGCACGAGUGGCGAACGGGUGAGUAACACGUGAGUAACCUGCCCUUGACUUUGUGAUAACUUCAGGAAACUGGGGCUAUUACCGGGUAGAAGCUCCUGCUGCAUGUUGGGGGUUGGAAAGUUUCGGCGGUGGGGGAUGGACUCGCGGCUUAUCGGCUUGUUGGUGGGGUAGUGGCUUACCAAGGGUUUGACGGAUAGCCGGCAUUGGAGGGUGAACGGGGUCAAGGCUACUGAGAGACGGAGCAGUAGGCAAUGGGACGCAGUAGGCGGGAGUAUUGCGCAACGGGCGGAAGUCUGAGGCGGCGGCGUCGCGUGCGGGAUGACGGCCUUCUGGGUGUGAACCGCUGUCGCCUGUGACGAAGCGGGAGUGACGGUAAUGGGUAAAGAAGCACCGGCUAACUACGUG
rnacentral:rRNA from 1 species